AAAGAAAGGCGUUGGAAGAAGAUGCUGCCAAAUGUGCCAAAUUAACAGAGCUGUUUUCCAGAGGACAGACCCCAGUUGCAGCCGGUAAAGAGAGAUAUGGAAAUAACUUUGUAUUGUCACUGUAAGGCUAUUGCGCAACAUUUGCAAUGUCAACUUAGCGUAGUUUAUUUUGUAGAACACAACACACACCAUUAAUCACAAAUAUCCAGUUUCAAGCUAAAAAUUUUAAACAUAAUUUGAUGUGUAAUAUAUUGAACAGCCUAACUCAUUAAUGGAAUGUUUUUGUUCCGACGCUACUGUAAUGAUGAUCCCGAGGAGACCAUGACUACUGAAGGAACAGCCUCAGAGCAGCAGAUAAGCCAGUCUGAUCCUGCUGGUGAACCAAGUAGGCAUGGAGAGGCCAGGACUACAGAGACAGAUAACCCAUAAUGCAAAUGGAGCUGCGUAGGCGUUCAAAGCGGAAUAAGAAACAAGAAAGAUAGCGGAAAACAGAGUCCUCUGUUCACAAGUAAGAAAUGGAUGCUCCAGACCAAAGAAGAAAGGGACUGUCCAGACUGUUUUCAGCAACAAGUCCAAAAGCCAGGGUCUGUUAUGGUAUGGGGUUGUGUCAGCACCCUUGUCAAAGAAAAUGCUCCUCUGUGAUGGCAGCAUUAAUACAGAAAAGUACAUUGACAUUUUAGAGCAACACAUGCUGCCUUUAAUACGACAUCUUUCCAGGGACGUCCAUGCAUUUUUCAACAAAUCAGCACAAAACCAUAUGCUGCACACACUACAAAGGCAUGGUUGCUAAAGAAAAUGUUACGGGUACUGGCCUGCUGGAGAAAAUGUGUGGAGAAUUUUGAUGAUGACAACCCCAGACUGUUGCAAGAAGAAUGGGACAAAGUAACACCUAAAAUCUCAUUGAUUGUUCUUUUAAGUGUUGUGAGAAGAAAUCGCAACAUUACAAAGAUGUAAAUGCAUUCCAUUUCAACUUUUUUUUUGGAAAUAACUCAACCAGAACUUAUUGGUUCAGGGUGUGCAAACCCUAUUACUGACAUCUUUUAUGGUACUAUAACCACGGGACCUUAGAGUGCUGAAGCAUGUAGGUUGAAUUCCAAGCUGCUCCUGUUAUUAGGACUGACCUUCCAUGACCAAGCAGCAAAUUACAAAUCUAACAAGAUCCUGUACAGUGCCAUUCAUUGGCUGGUAUGGUAUAAAUCCAUACUCGGUACUGUUUUAAUGAUUUUUUAAAAAUAGACCUUUUUUCUUUGAAAUCUGUAUAUUGCUGUAAAUUCCUAAGCCUUUGUAUCAUUGCCUUUGUUGGAGUGUAUGACCUUUCCUUGUUUGACUACUUUGUUUAAUUAAAUCUUUUUUGAAACCA